AUUGAACGCUGGCGGUAUGCUUAACACAUGCAAGUCGAACGGCAGCAUGCUCUAGCUUGCUAGAGUGAUGGCGAGUGGCGGACGGGUGAGUAACGCGUAGGAAUCUACCUAUCGGUGGGGGAUAGCCCGGUGAAAACCGGAUUAAUACCGCAUACGCCCUUAGGGGGAAAGCGGGGGAUCUUCGGACCUCGCGCUAUUGGAGCGGCCGAUGUCGGAUUAGCUAGUAGGUGAGGUAAAGGCUCACCUAGGCGACGAUCCGUAGCUGGUCUGAGAGGAUGAUCAGCCACACUGGGACUGAGACACGGCCCAGACUCCUACGGGAGGCAGCAGUGGGGAAUUUUGGACAAUGGGCGCAAGCCUGAUCCAGCCAUGCCGCGUGAGUGAAGAAGGCCUC
rnacentral:rRNA from 1 species